rnacentral:lncRNA from 1 species
AGGAUAUACACUUUUGUCAGGAGAUCAGCAUCAUGAGCAACACUUGUAGCUGUUCACAUAUACAUUCUGCCAUCUGUGGUGCACAGAAUAUCACUGAAAUGUUGAUUUUUUUUGCAGAUAUGAAGAAAAUCUUUGGAGGAAACAGAAGGGAAAACUUCCACCUAUGGUUAAGAUUCCUCCACCAUGGCCACCUCUGCCUACCCAGCUAUUUGGGGUCAGCCUGCAAUAGUAGUGAGGAGAGCAAAAACCACAGUGAGGUAGCUGAAAGGUUAAUCAAGCCUCACCUCAAGUCUUCAGCAG